rnacentral:lncRNA from 1 species
UGGAAAAAAAUGAUGUGGAUGCUUUUUCAAAUAAUUAACUUAAAGAAUUUUAAAUAUUUUCUUAAAAAAUACAGCGUUUUUAUACAUAAAUGCCGCGCCUUUUGAAUAUUGUAUAUCAAUUUAACAAGGAUGAAUAGAGCUUUAGGGAAAGUAUCAUCGAUCCGGCUUUGGGACAACAAUAGAUAAUGGUAUCUCUCCCACCGGAUAUGAUGGGGAGUGGUCUUUACAGGCCACGUGACGAGAACGGAAAUCUCCCACCUGCCAGUGCAGCCAGCUGGAACCACAACACGAAUGGGUGUGCUAUCCACAACAUCGCAUUCGACUGCUGUCUGUAGUGUGUAGUGUAUAUAGCACUGUAUACCCCGCUUUAAUACGCGUCUACACUAUCGGACGUCAUCUCGUAUCUAGCGUACUGGAUAAGAAACCUGUUGACGCUGAAUUGUGAACAUAUCAAGAACUCGAGCAGGAUUUGGCACAGGUAAAACAAUUGUUUGAUUUAUUAGAAUGGGUACUUUUUUAUUGUUCCGAUUGCUUUCGAGUAAAUUUUAUUUGUUCUAUUUAUAUCGCGAAACAGGAAGGAAAUGUUUAAUUUUAAUAACUUUUCUUCUAUUUCAAGAGUCAGUAAAAUUAAUUACUUAGAUAUGUUCUAAAUUGCAAUAAUGCUUACGAAUAGAUAAGGAAAACAAUACUAUCAAUCCGUGCUGAACUAUGCUUCUGGGAAAUUUUAUCGCUUAAGUACUGUUAACGGCAGUAAUGUUUUCAAGUUUAAUUUUAAAAAUACGAAGGUAAAUCAAGUACAUGUUUUGUUCCUUUUUUUUAAAUUCUUUUCUCACGAUGCGAAACAAAUGGCAAUCACGUGAUAUCAACGCUUUACUCUUCUCGACAAGGGAAACGACCCCGAUUCAUCACAAAAAAACUAUUAAAAAUGGAGAGAAAUAAAACAUUGGAAAUUAAGCAUUCCGUGUGAUUUUAAUUAAAUUAGGUCAGGUGACAGUAAAAAUAAAAUUAGGUGAGAGAUUAGAAGAGGAAGUAUACUUUGAAAGAAGAGGACAUUACGUCACCGGAAUCGUUUGAAAUUUUAUAGUUUCCUCUCUCGAUUUUCGUCGCACGUCACUGAAUAAGAAUGAUAAUCACAGAUGAAUACUAAUUUUUUUUAUAAACAUAUCAUCCAAGCAUUGAAAUUAACCAAAGCAAAGAAUAAAAAUAUCGUCUUUAUUUCUAUCGGUGUAUGUUUUAUAACAGGAUUUCUUUGCGGAAAUCACCUUGAUUCUGCAUCGUCCUUGUGGAUAUUGAACGCUCAUUUAUGGAUAAGCACACCUUUGUUAAAUUCUCUAAAACGGUUUCCGCACUUUUGUAAAAUCACACCGUACCUAUUUGUGCUUUUCUGGAUUACGAAACUUUUGCGAAAGUCUAUUACGUAGUCUACACCGUAGAUUUUUAAUAAAUGACCUAUUAUAAGUGUUGCCAUUUUCGUAACCAACCGUAGGUGAAUUUUACAUUACAUUAAGGUAAAUUUAAUAUCAAGGACACGGAAAAAAUAAAAACAGGCGUUUCAAAUCUGUAAACAACUAUCCUUCGCGUUAAACAAUAAUAAAACUGAAAGAUUAAUUUUCUGCAUCGAUAAAAUAAAGUCUAAAAUCGCCGUUUAAACGGGUAACACCUGUUGGAUAAAUGCUGAACGUGUUUGUUUUUAACACAGGUGUGUGUGAAGAUGGAAAGUUUAAAAUUGGCAAAUGUUCCAAAAAAAAAAAAAAAAAAAAGAUGCAAUUGCACACCGUUUACACUUUUUUUACGUUAC